rnacentral:lncRNA from 1 species
AUGGGUUACCUGACUGGUUGGGAAGGGAAAGAGCUGCCGUGUUGUCCGCCGUGGCUCCCAGUCGCUAUAGUUAGCCUACUAUGCCUACUCCAAGUAGUCCUAUGUCAUGCCGCUGCUACACGCCUCACAACAAAUGAACUGCAAGCGUGUUCACGUGACACGGUGACAGUGAAAAAGCGACAGGGUUCGGGUGUCUUUGAAGAAGGGGCACAAAUCAAGCCAUUAUUUUCACACCUUUUUAAAUCGCGCAGCUUUAAAAAAAAAAAAAAAAUCACGUCUUUCAAAAGGGCACUUUUUUGGACUGAGGGCAAAAGGGCAAGUGCUUCAGCACCACCUCGUCUCUAUCUGUGCACGCCAGUGCUGGAGAGGGUCCGUUUCAACCUGAGAUGCAGACAAAGCAGAGUUGUUCCCAAGAGCCUGCGCCUUGGAUCCACUGUCAGGGGACACAGAGCGGACUUGAUUCUACAGAGAGCACAAAAUCAGCUUCUAAGUGAAAGGAUAAGACAGGUCCAUUUCACUAUAGAUGCCCUCCAGAGCAAGAUUAGCCAGACGCUGCAGGAACUGGAAACCCUUCUACCCUCUCCUAUUCUAGAAGAGGUUUACAAGUUUGUGGACAACGCUCAGCGGGCCCAACACUCUAAAGGAAAAGAAAGACAACGCAGGAAAUUUCACACCUUACUUUUGAAAACCCACACCCCUCAGUCUGAAUCUACACAACUCAGCGAAGAACACACACCUGAGGACAGUCAGGAAAAAUGGGUGAAGAACUUUUCAGACCGGAAUCUCACUGAACCUGAAAAGAGGGUUUUAGCCAAAGGACUCAAUUUUGCCAUUUCUCCGCAACAGUUGCCCAUAGUGGACCUCAUCACAGCCACAGAAACUGCCAUACGGAUUAACAAAUUAUCACAGACAGAAGCAGAACAGAUCAGGAUGAAAGUCUCAGCCACCCUCUCCAGUGCCAAAGUCCCUCCGUCUAACCUCACAUUACAAGAAAAGAAGGCCGUCGCUUCCCUGAGUAAAGACCACAACAUCACUAUAUUACCAGCAGAUAAGGGAAGGUGCACCGUGGUCCUAAACACAACAAAUUACCACACAAAGAUCACUACUCUCCUCAGUGACAACAAUACCUAUGAAGCCUUAAAGCGAGACCCCACAAGCAGCUACAAAAAGAAAGUUAUAGCUUGCCUUCAAGACCUUGAAAGGGACAAAGUCAUUGACCGCCUCACAUAUCACCGCCUUUACCCAGGGGAUGCCAUACCCUGCAUUUACGGACUUCCUAAGAUCCACAAGGAAGGUGUCCCACUCAGACCCAUUGUCAGUAGCAUAAACUCAGCCACUUACAACAUCUCUAAACACCUUGCAACCGUCCUAGGACCUCUUGUGGGGAACACCCCACAUCACAUCAAGAACUCCAACGACUUCACAGACAAGGUCCAGAAACUUACCCUGGAUCCAGAUGAAACCAUGGUGUCCUUUGAUGUAGUCUCACUCUUCACUUGCAUACCCACUAUGGAGGCAGUGGAGAUUGUCAGAAAACGACUACAAGAAGACAGAUCCUUGGAAGACAGGACCAACUUCACACCCCAUCAGAUUUGCACACUGUUAGACCUCUGCCUCACCACUACAUAUUUCAAACACAACGAGGGUUUCUACAGACAAAAACAUGGCUGCGCCAUGGCCUCCCCCGUGUCACCUAUUGUAGCCAACCUUUACAUGGAGGAAGUGGAAAGAAAGGCUCUUGGCUCUUUUAAAGGGAGAGUACCCAGCCACUGGUACAGAUAUGUAGACGACACCUGGGUCAAAAUCAAAAGACAAGAAGUGGAAUCCUUCACUGCGCACAUUAACGCCGUGGAUAAAAACAUCAAGUUCACCAGGGAAGACACAAAGGACAACUGUUUGCCUUUUCUGGACUGCGCCAUGCACAUUGAAGAGAAUGGCAACCUCACCAUUGAAGUUUACCGGAAGCCCACACACACGGACCAGUACCUCCUCUUUGACUCCCAUCACCCUCUGGAACACAAACUUGGAGUAAUCAGGACCCUACACCACCGGGCAGAACUUGUUCCCUCUAAGCCUGAAGGGAAAAAGAAGGAACGCACACAUGUAAACAUACACAUGUAUGCAGCAACAGUGGAAAAUAUUAUGCGGUUAGUCAUGAGUUUUAGACAUGGCAGUAUACAUGUUACAAAAACACAAAAUAAAAGUAAGCAAUAG